rnacentral:rRNA from 1 species
AGUGAACGCUGGCGGUAGGCCUAACACAUGCAAGUCGAACGGCAGCACAGUAAGAGCUUGCUCUUACGGGUGGCGAGUGGCGGACGGGUGAGGAAUACAUCGGAAUCUACUUUUUCGUGGGGGAUAACGUAGGGAAACUUACGCUAAUACCGCAUACGACCUACGGGUGAAAGCAGGGGAUCUUCGGACCUUGCGCGAAUGAAUGAGCCGAUGUCGGAUUAGCUAGUUGGCGGGGUAAAGGCCCACCAAGGCGACGAUCCGUAGCUGGUCUGAGAGGAUGGUCAGCCACACUGGAACUGAGACACGGUCCAGACUCCUACGGGAGGCAGCAGUGGGGAAUUUUGGACAAUGGGCGCAAGCCUGAUCCAGCCAUACCGCGUGGGUGAAGAAGGCCUUCGGGUUGUAAAGCCCUUUUGUUGGGAAAGAAAAGCAGCAGGUUAAUACCCCGCUGUUCUGACGGUACCCAAAGAAUAAGCACCGGCUAACUUCGUGC